AACAUGCAUCUGGCCUAAAUUGAGCAGACUGCCCAAGAGGACUCUGGAGUAAAAAGAAAUGGCUUCAAUGACCAGAAUGGAGUUUCUAUCUCGACACUGGACUUCUUAAAAAAUACGUGUUUUGCUGAUUUCCCCCAAUCACUGGAAAAAUGUGAAAACUUUGCAUAAAAGUAUAAAGAAAGAAAA